GCGCGGGGUGCCGCGGCUUUGUUCGUCCUGCUUGUCCCCAGCGCCGCCGCCGCCGGCCGCGCCCGGCGUGGGGAGUGGGCGAUGCGGCUGCCCCGGGCCGGGCCGGGCGUGCCGAGACCCGCGCUGCGCUGGGGCUGCCCCACGACAAGCGGCUGUUCCCCGCGGUGCCCGCCGCCCCAUGAGCAUAUGUUCGUAUGUCGGUGGGGUUUUCCCUCCCGCUGUAGCGGAACUUCAUUUAAAACGAAGCAAGAGCAGCUCUCGAGGAAGAAAAUCACUACUUCUGCGUUAUUCUAUCGCGGGGUCCUAGUUAAUUAGUAAUUGCACACAAUGAUAUGGUAAAGUCGUGUAAUUACAAGCGUAACCUUUUAUUUUAAGGAAGAGAAUUUGUAGUUUUAUUCCACGUUUGUAGCGUUUUGUAUAUCCAAUUAUGUCGUGGCGAAAUGUAAAAAGAAAAGGAGGGCUGGUAAAAUGCAAAGUUGGGUUUGUACACAGCGCCCUUUGAAUUCGAAAUUGUGCAUUCUGAAAUCCUAUGGGUUUUUUUCGUUUAUUUUCAUGGACUUGCUAUAUUAUGGUAAUACUGUUUGAUGUGCUUUUUGUGUUGUUGUGAAGACGUAAAUGUCAGCAAGCAGCUCUACCUAAAAAUUAUGAAAAAAAUGGUUGCUGUUUCUUUCCUUGGAAAUGAAAUCAUAAUUUAUUAGCCUAAUAUUUUAAGUCUUUUCCAGUAACGUGAAUGAUUCUUCCAGUAUAGCAAGUAUAUUUGAGGUUCUGUUUCCUGAAUGUUAUAACACAUUUCUUUAUGUAUUAUUUGCAGAGUGAAGCCCUUUUUGAUUCGCAUCCAGUUCUAUCAUGACUGCAGUAAAGACAAAUCGUUAUUACCUCAUGAAUAACUUUGGAGUGUAUUAUCCCUUGGACUUCAUGUAAUGAAUGAGUGUCCACAUCGUCCAAGUGGGCAAAUAGUUGAUGUAUCAGACUUGCUUAAAAAGUCAAGACUGGAUUUCAUGUAACUGAAAUACAUCUGGGAAUUAUAUUUCUGAUAUACGUUUAAAUGCGAAGAGGGCAGUUCCUAGUGUUUGCCUCCCUAAAGCCCCCCUACCUCAUGGUCUCGUAUGCUGCUUCAAGCAAGAAAAAUCUAUUGUGUACAAGGGGGUUGACUGGGGUCCUCAGGAAGAUGGCUUAGUAUCAAAUUUAUCUCACAGAACCAAAUGCUGCCAAGUGAUUGGUAUUAAUAAUGCAUUGAAAGCUGCAGCCACAUCUGAUGUUUUCUUCUACUCUUGAGGAAAAGAAUUAUUGUAAACUUUUGAAUGUUCCUUUCGUUCCUCCAGUCAGAGUAAUCCUGAGGGCUUUUGAGGUACUCAAGGAAGGCUUACAGGAAUCUGGAAGACACGGCCGCCGACUGGUGUCAAGAAGAAUUGUGCUCUUUAACCCAUGGAAAUGUUGUGGUUCACCCUGUGGAAACUGAUAAGGCAUUGGAAUCCACAUCAGGGGAUUGAAUGGACCAUUUGCUGACUUUAUAAAUCAGACAUCAGAAACUCAGAAAUGUCUACAUCUGCAUUCUGGAGAGACUUACAGAAGUACAUGCUUCACACAGAAGAGAAAAUCCUAACCAGU